rnacentral:rRNA from 1 species
CGGUAACAGAGGAGCUUGCUCUUGCUGACGAGUGGCGAACGGGUGCGUAACGCGUAUACAACUUGCCUAUAACUGAUGGAUAGCCCAUGGAAACGUGGAUUAAUACCUCAUAAUAUUGUGAAUUCGCAUGUUUUCACACUUAAAGCUUUAUUGCGGUUAUAGAUGGGUAUGCGUGACAUUAGUUAGUUGGUGAGGUAAAAGCUCACCAAGACCACGAUGUCUAGGGGGCCUGAGAGGGUGAUCCCCCACACUGGUACUGAGACACGGACCAGACUCCUACGGGAGGCAGCAGUGAGGAAUAUUGCACAAUGGAGGAAACUCUGAUGCAGCCAUGCCGCGUGCAGGAUGACUGCCCUAUGGGUUGUAAACUGCUUUUAUAUAGGAAGAAACCUCUUUACGUGUAGAGAGCUGACGGUACUAUACGAAUAAGGACCGGCUAACUCCGUGCCAGCAGCCGCGGUAAUACGGAGGGUCCAAGCGUUAUCCGGAUUUAUUGGGUUUAAAGGGUGCGUAGGCGGAAAUUUAAGUCAGUGGUGAAAUCCUACAGCUCAACUGUAGAACUGCCAUUGAAACUGGAUUUCUUGAAUAUAGUUGAAGUAGGCGGAAUAUGUAGUGUAGCGGUGAAAUGCUUAGAUAUUACAUAGAACACCGAUUGCGAAGGCAGCUUGCUAAACUAUUAUUGACGCUGAGGCACGAAAGCAUGGGGAGCGAACAGGAUUAGAUACCC